AAACUACCAUCUUUAAAAAACGCGCUCGGGCCGCCGGCUUCCCGUCUUUAGAGCAAGGUUCCGUGAAGCAAGGUGGCAUCACGUGAUCGUGAUGUCGUAGCAUGUCGACUGCA
rnacentral:lncRNA from 1 species